rnacentral:rRNA from 1 species
UUGGAGGGCAAGUCUGGUGCCAGCAGCCGCGGUAAUUCCAGCUCCAAUAGCGUAUAUUAAAGUUGUUGCAGUUAAAAAGCUCGUAGUUGAAUUUCGGGAUCAUCAGGUUGGUCGUGCCUCUGGUAUGUACUUUCCUCGAUGGUUCCUCCUUCUUGAAGAACCGUAAUGCCAUUAAUUUGGUGUUGCGGGGAAUCAGGACUGUUACUUUGAAAAAAUUAGAGUGUUUAAAGCAGGCAAUCGCUUGAAUACAUUAGCAUGGAAUAAUGAAAUAGGACGUUCGAUCCUAUUUUGUUGGUUUCUAGGAUUGACGUAAUGAUUAAUAGGGAUAGUUGGGGGCAUUAGUAUUCAAUUGUCAGAGGUGAAAUUCUUGGAUUUAUUGAAGACUAACUACUGCGAAAGCAUUUGCCAAGGAUGUUUUCAUUAAUCAAGAACGAAAGUUAGGGGAUCGAAGACGAUCAGAUACCGUCGUAGUCUUAACCAUAAACUAUGCCGACUAGGGAUCGGAUGAUGUUAAUUUUUUAAUGACUCAUUCGGCGCCUUACGGGAAAC